AUUGAACGCUGGCGGCAUGCCUUACACAUGCAAGUCGAACGGCAGCAUGAUCUCGCUUGCUAGAUUGAUGGCGAGUGGCGAACGGGUGAGUAAUACAUCGGAACGUGCCCUGUAGUGGGGGAUAACUAGUCGAAAGAUUAGCUAAUACCGCAUACGACCUGAGGGUGAAAGUGGGGGACCGCAAGGCCUCAUGCUAUAGGAGCGGCCGAUGUCUGAUUAGCUAGUUGGUGGGGUAAAGGCCCACCAAGGCGACGAUCAGUAGCUGGUCUGAGAGGACGAUCAGCCACACUGGGACUGAGACACGGCCCAGACUCCUACGGGAGGCAGCAGUGGGGAAUUUUGGACAAUGGGGGCAACCCUGAUCCAGCAAUGCCGCGUGUGUGAAGAAGGCCUUCGGGUUGUAAAGCACUGUUGUCCGGAAAGAAAUCGCACUUACUAAUAUUAGGUGUGGAUGACGGUACCGGAAGAAUAAGGACCGGCUAACUACGUG
rnacentral:rRNA from 1 species